AUUGAACGCUGGCGGCAGGCCUAACACAUGCAAGUCGAGCGAAUGAAGGGAGCUUGCUCCUGGAUUCAGCGACGGACGGGUGAGUAAUGCCUAGGAAGCUGCCUGGUAGUGGGGGAUAACGUCCGGAAACGGGCGCUAAUACCGCAUACGUCCUGAGGGGGAAAGUGGUGGAUCUUUGGUCAUCAAGCUAUUAGAUGAGCCUAGGUCGGAUUAGCUAGUUGGUGUGGUAAAGGCCUACCAAGGCGACGAUCCGUAACUGAUCUGAGAGGAUGAUCAGUCACACUGGAACUGAGACACGGUCCAGACUCCUACGGGAGGCAGCAGUAGGGAAUCUUGCACAAUGGGCGAAAGCCUGAUCCAGCAAUGCCGCGUGUGUGAAGAAGGUCUUCGGAUUGUAAAGCACUUUAAGUUGGGAGGAAGAAAAGUGAGUUAAUCCCUUCAUGUCUUGACGUUACCAAAAGAAUAAGCCCCGGCUAACUUCGUG
rnacentral:rRNA from 1 species